AAUUUGGAUGGUCGCAAACCCCCAACUGAAAGACCCCCAGAGCUGGGAGACCCUCACUCAAAUCUCAGGAUAAGCCGAUGCCCCCAAAAUUCAAGAGAGGCC
rnacentral:pre_miRNA from 11 species